CUAGCGACAGGCCUAACACAUGCAAGUCAGGGGCAGCACAAGGAGCAAUCUGAGGUGGCGACCGGCGCACGGGUGAGUAACACGUAUGCAACCUGCCUGUAAGCGGGGAAUAACCCGUUGAAAGACGGACUAAUACCGCAUAAUACUAAAUUACUGCAUGGUAAUUUAUUUAAACAUUUAUGGCUUACAGAUGGGCAUGCGCAUGAUUAGCUAGUUGGAGAGGUAACGGCUCCCCAAGGCAACGAUCAUUAGGGGUUCUGAGAGGAAGGUCCCCCACACUGGUACUGAGACACGGACCAGACUCCUACGGGAGGCAGCAGUGAGGAAUAUUGGUCAAUGGACGAGAGUCUGAACCAGCCAAGUCGCGUGCAGGAAGAAUGUUCCCUAUGGAUUGUAAACUGCUUUUGCAGGGGAAAUAAAGUGCAUCACGUGUGAUGUUUUGUAUGUACUCUGCGAAUAAGGAUCGGCUAACUCCGUGCCAGCCGCCGC
rnacentral:rRNA from 1 species